CAGUGCUGGGAACAAGCUGCACAGGACAUACAGAUUGCACGGAUCAUGUUCAAAAUUCAGAGUGUUCAGCUGCUGAUGAAUGCUCUUGUGCAACAAAUUAUAUCCAAGAUGGUAAUGUUUGCGCCAAAGCAUUAGGAGAAACAUGCUCGGCUGGCGAAUGUGUGACUAACGCAGAAUGUGACACGACAUGCAAAUGCUCGGAUGGAUUCAUUGAUACAAACGGGCUUUGUGCUGCUCCAUCUUCCGCAAUCACAACGAGACUGUCAGCCAGUGUAGCUGCAAUGUCGAUUUUAGGCAUUGUCAUUCGAACUAUUUUCUAAGUGUGUGCAUGCAACAAAAUAUCCAACGAAAGAUAUAUAGCCGGACUGACACAUAUAUCAUCUUCACUUUCAACUUUACCUUAUUAUAGAUAUUUUCUGUUUUUAAACAAUUAUAUCCCAACCUACUUAUCAUGAAUCCAAACUAAAUAAAUACUAAGUCUUGUUAAAAUCAGGGUUUGGUCACACUUGGAUAUUUCUUUCGUUACUUGAAAUACGGAUAAAGACAAAUCCUUUAAAUAGAUUUAGAAUGUUAUGCUUGAACACAAUUCAAACCUGUAAUAAAGUGUACCUGUCUUACAAAUGAACAGUUUUCUUCAAUCUGCACUUGUUAUAAAUCAUUACAUGAAUAGCAAAAAGUCAAAUGUUACAAUAAUAAUAAUAAUACAACAUAAAGCAUAACAACAACAGUAUGGACAGUGAUAUUAAGUUUGAAUAAAUUUUCCUACAUGCAUUAGAAGGUGUGGCUAUAUGGCUAUUCUUAAAAAAAGACAGACAUUUUAUGUAUGUCCAUCGUGACUUUCUUGAUGUGUUUUCAAUCGUAUCGUAGCAAUAUUUACUACAAAUUAUUGUACAAUACUAUCAUACUAUUUAUUAUUGACAACCUUCUUGCAUGUCAGUAAACGAAGUUUUACUUUCUCUCUGUCAGUAAUUUACAAUUAUAUCAAUAAUAGAAAACAUGUUAUUAAUUUUGAUUCAUAAUUCGAACGUAUAUGCGAUCACCAUAUGGCUAUUUCCUUACGAUACAGAGUUUUCAUUGUAUGCCUAUCGUGUUUUUGCUUGCUGUGUUUUCAGAAGUGACAUAUAAGCGACUGUGUGUAUCUUAAAAUAUCAACUGUUUUGAUUCUAAAUCAGCAGUUUUAGUUAGCAUGUGGAUAUGUUUCAACGAAUGGCAUUAGAAUUAUGUUAUUAAACAUACUUAGAAGAAAGACUGAUUGAUGUGUAUGAUUUAUUGGUUGGAACAGGCUAGUAGACAGUACUGAGUAAUGUCUCAAAUAAUAUGCAUGCAGAUAAAUACAAAAACGCACCAGGCAGUAUGGUUUGAAAAUUUGAUAUAGGAUCUUUGAACACUUUUUUGAUACGAAGAUAGGUACAACUUUUUAUUUAAAUUCCAUUCCUUAUUUUACUUAAUUUCUGGAUUGAAUUUUCAUAAUAUUUGCAUAUCGGUUUAACAAUUAUGCAUAUGAGAUAUUAUUCCUGUCGAAAGCCAUAUGAGUAUGACUAAAUGGUAUUGCUUAUUUAGGAUUACAUAUUCCCUUUUUAUGUGUCGAGUGAAAUGCAAACUUCAGAUGUUGUGUAAUUAAAAAGAACUACAACUUACUACUAUGUAUAAGCAUUAUUUUGACUAUUAAUAAAAUAGGUACUUAUUACACGUAUUAUAUACAUCUAUGUUCAAAUAUUCUCGGACAAUGAAUGUUACAAAUGCAGUCAUACAUUUAAUGCUUAUAUUUAUAUAUCAUUAUUUUAUAUCAGCUGUUUGUUUCUUCAAAGUAUAUCUAUGUCAGCUAUUCAAAAACAUUUUGGUAAUAUAUGUAAAAGAUAGAA